AUGAACGCUAGCGACAGGCUUAACACAUGCAAGUCGAGGGGUAACAGGGUAGCAAUACCGCUGACGACCGGCGCACGGGUGAGUAACGCGUAUGCAACCUGCCUAUAACUGUGGAAUAGCUCCCUGAAAGGGGAAUUAACACCGCAUAACACUAUUGAUUCGCAUGGAUUGGUAGUUAAAUGUAGCGAUACAGGUUAUAGAUGGGCAUGCGUGACAUUAGCUAGUUGGUGAGGUAACGGCUCACCAAGGCUACGAUGUCUAGGGGUUCUGAGAGGAAGGUCCCCCACACUGGUACUGAGACACGGACCAGACUCCUACGGGAGGCAGCAGUGAGGAAUAUUGGUCAAUGGGCGCAAGCCUGAACCAGCCAUGUCGCGUGCAGGAAGACUCGCCCUAUGGGUUGUAAACUGCUUUUAUAGUAGAAGAAACACAUCUACGUGUAGAUGUCUGCCAGUAUACUAUGAAUAAGCAUCGGCUAACUCCGUGCCAGCCGCAGC
rnacentral:rRNA from 1 species